UACGUAGGGGGCAAGCGUUGUCCGGAAUCAUUGGGCGUAAAGCGCGUGUAGGCGGCUCGAUAAGUCCGCUCUGAAAGUCCAGGGCUCAACCCUGGGAGUGCGGGUGGAUACUGUCGGGCUCGAGUCCGGAAGAGGCGAGUGGAAUUCCCGGUGUAGCGGUGAAAUGCGCAGAGUAUCAGGAAGAACACCCGUGGCGAAGGCGGUUCUCUGGGACGGUACUGACGCUGAGACGCGAAAGCGUGGGGAGCGAACAGG
rnacentral:rRNA from 1 species